UACGUAGGGUGCGAGCGUUGUCCGGAAUUAUUGGGCGUAAAGGGCUCGUAGGCGGUUUGUCGCGUCGGGAGUGAAAACACCGGGCUUAACUCGGUGCUUGCUUUCGAUACGGGCAGACUAGAGGUAUGCAGGGGAGAACGGAAUUCCUGGUGUAGCGGUGAAAUGCGUAGAUAUCGGGAGGAACACCAGUGGCGAAGGCGGUUGCCUGGAGCUUUGCUGACGCUGAUGCGCGAAAGCGUGGGGAGCGAUCCGG
rnacentral:rRNA from 1 species